CGAAAGCCUGACGGAGCAAUACCGCGUGGGGGAGGAAGGCUCUUGGGUCGUAAACCUCUUUUCUCAGGGAAGAACACAAUGACGGUACCAGAGGAAUCAGCAUCGGCUAACUCCGUGCCAGCAGCCGCGGUAAGACGGAGGAUGCAAGCGUUAUCCGGAAUGAUUGGGCGUAAAGCGUCCGCAGGUGGCAGUUCAAGUCUGCUGUCAAAGACCGGGGCUUAACUUCGGAAAGGCAGUGGAAACUGAACAGCUAGAGUAUGGUAGGGGCAGAGGGAAUUCCUGGUGUAGCGGUGAAAUGCGUAGAGAUCAGGAAGAACAUCGGUGGCGAAGGCGCUCUGCUGGACCAUAACUGACACUCAGGGACGAAAGCUAGGGGAGCG
rnacentral:rRNA from 1 species